rnacentral:rRNA from 1 species
GCUUUACUGUAACUUGGAAUUGAGUUUGGGCUCUUCUUGCGCAGUAUAGGUGGGAGGCUAAGAAAAUAUGCUUGCGGGCAUAUUUGAGCCAUCAUUGAGAUACCACUCUGGAAGGGUUGGAACUCUAACUUUGAGCCGUAAGCCGGCCAAAAGACAGUUUCUGGUGGGCAGUUUGACUGGGGCGGUCGCCUCCUAAAAGGUAACGGAGGCGCGCCAAGGUUCCCUCAGGCUGGUUGGAAAUCAGCCAGAGAGUGUAAAGGCACAAGGGAGCUUGACUGCAAGAGCUACACCUCGAGCAGGGACGAAAGUCGGCCUUAGUGAUCCGACGGCACUGAGUGGAAGGGCCGUCGCUCAACGGAUAAAAGUUA